AUUGGAUUAAUAACGAAUUGGCUAAUCAUGCAUACAUAGCACAGACCGGCAUCUAUUGCUAUCGCACAUGAUGUACGUAUUGUUCCGACUAGAUGAUGUUUCCCAGGUUCGAUGAUUACAUGGGUGACGGCCCACUGUCCGCAUGGAUGAGCAUCCCUGGGGCGAUGAUUGCAUUCACACAUCCAUGCAUCUAAUAAGACCUGCAUCAUGUAUUAUUUUGUAUGCUUUGUUUUAUAACUAUGCUUACCUAAUGCGGCAGAGUGUAAUCUUGAGGGGAGUUCACACUGAGUUGGCCACUUAUCCAUCAAAUAAAUAUAACCGUACAGGUAGCACAGGUGGUUUAAGUGAUUUUCAGGUUCGGGCUGAUGAGGAGUCGGGUUCAAGUGCCAGAGUUGCAUGACUAUAUCUACCUUGAGAAGUUGAGGGGUCUUACGGCUCAAAUUUAUGUGCAUUCUACUAUUUCUCAUGUAUUGUAUCAUGUAAUUCUUAUAUUUAUUAAUUUUGGAGACAUUGGUUUGUAUAAGUCAUUAUGGGCAACCACUUAUAUAUUCUAAAUGAAAUUUGAAAUUUUCCUU